GGACUGGGUUCAAAAGCUAGACUCUAGUGGUGUCAUAUAGAGGGUCCCUUGGCCCGGGCUUGUAGGCCUCAUUGCAAUCGGGCUUUGAGCGCUGAGUUUCCAAACUAAGGCGCUGGGUGUGGGCGAGCAUUGAGAGACAUUUCCCUAGUACGGGGAGGAUAAUUGACCCUUUUGUCGUUAAUGAUGACGGCCUGGGAUGUCAUAUCUCAAGAUCACAUUUGUCACAUGCCUAGGAUAAUGACACCUAUUACUGACUUUUUAAAAAUGAAAUAGUCUCGAAUGUGUGCAAGAGACGUAAAGAGAAACGAGGAUAGAGGAAUUCCAUCUUUUCAUGGCUUGCUCUAGAUGUUGUUUGGCUUAUGUUUCUAUCUAAUCACAAUCGAUAGAGGCUCGUGUUUUUCUCCAUUCUUGGUUGGAAAAAAUUCUCUCCAUCCUUGUUUGGAGAAAACCUCCUCUAACCAUUAUUCUGAUUAGUGGAUACAAA